UUGCAGCCCGGCCUGAGUGGAGCUCAUUUUUUGCGUGCAAUCAAUUUCUAUCGUAAUGGAAAUCGUCUGCAAAAAAUAGCGGGAACGGAGGACGGAAAAGCU
rnacentral:sRNA from 1 species